rnacentral:rRNA from 1 species
CCUACGGGAGGCAGCAGUGAGGAAUAUUGGUCAAUGGACGAGAGUCUGAACCAGCCAAGUAGCGUGAAGGAUGACUGCCCUAGGGGUUGUAAACUUCUUUUAUAAAGGAAUAAAACGAGGCACGUGUGCCUUUUUUCAUGUACUUUAUGAAUAAGGAUCGGCUAACUCCGUGCCAGCAGCCGCGGUAAUACGGAGGAUCCGAGCGUUAUCCGGAUUUAUUGGGUUUAAAGGGAGCGUAGAUGGGUUGUUAAGUCAGUUGUGAAAGUUUGCGGCUCAACCGUAAAAUUGCAAUUGAUACUGGCAGUCUUGAGUACAGUUGAGGUAGGCGGAAUUCGUGGUGUAGCGGUGAAAUGCUUAGAUAUCACGAAGAACCCCGAUUGCGAAGGCAGCUUACUAAACUGUGACUGACAUUGAUGCUCGAAAGUGUGGGUAUCAAACAGGAUUAGAUACCCGAGUAGUC